GGUGCCUCUGCAGCAAGCGUGGGGCGCGGGAACCCGAGCAGGUUCGGGAGACGGAAUGAAGGGCCGGGUGGGCUCGCGAGGGGCCGGGGAGUCCGCGGGGAGCGAGGGAGUUUCCGAGGGGCGGGUCGUGUUCCUGGCAGCGUCCCUCCAGGGCAGGCCCGCCCCCUUUGUCCCAGUUCCCCGCUGCCCGGGCUGGGGCGGCCGGGGUUCAUUCAUUGCCGGCCUGAGGACUCCUAGCUCGGCCCCGCUCCGCGCUACAGCCCAAAGCCCAGCCUGAGACCCAGCCGCCCUCGUAUGCCCACGGCCUAGCUCCCCUUCCCUCCAACAGACAGACUGGGAAAACCGAGUGGGCGACGGCUGAGCAAGGUCACUCCGCUGUCGGGGGCGCAGCCGGCCUCAGACCAGCUUUCGUGCUUCCCAGGGCCUCUCUGCGACCACUUUCGGGGUCCGCGCCAGGCGCGGGGCGGGGGCGGGGGCGGCUUCGGCGCGGCGGGCAGAGUCCAGCGGGCAGCGGUGGGGGAAGGGCGAGCCGCCUGGGGAGAGGGCCGGGCUGCGAGCCUGGCGAUCCAGAUUCCAGCCCGCUGUCGCCAGCUGUGGGACCGAAGGGCAACUGUUUCACCUCUCUGGCCCUAGUAUCUGUAUCUGUAAAGUGCCAGUGAUAACACCUGUCUCACCGAGAUGCUGGGGGAAUUCAGGAAAAUCAUGCAAAAGUGCCUGGUACGGAGCCUGGCACGCAGAGGGCUCUUGGUCAAGUGGGUUGGAGCUGCGUGAGCCCAGAAGGGGAUAGAGGCAGCGUGGAGGAAGGCGGCAGCGGGCCCGGUCGCUGGGAAUGAAAGGCCUCAGUGUCUGGGGCUUCCUCCCCGUACUACCCGCAGAGUUUGUUCAGGGUGGAGGUGCGCACCUGGCCAAGUCCACGUCUACACGGCCCACCCAGAGUAGCCUAAGUUGGGCGGGAUUCCUAACUCUGAGCCAGGAGUGACCGGGCUGGCCCUGGCAUGGGCAGAGGCUGAGCGGGGGUUGGGGUGGGGCCCCCUCCAGGACCAACCACGGUGUGGUUGCCCCUGAGCUGGCCUCAGCCUGCCUGGCAAAGGACCUCACCCUUGAGGCCAUGUGAUCUAUUUCCUGCUUCCUCCCAGCUGACCCUUGAGGGAAAGGGGGUGGGGGCCGCCUAGAGCAGGAGGUAUUAGUCACUGCGCCCAGGAGCCAGUUUACACCUAGCGAAGGCGGAGGCAUUGGACAAGCCUGGGUCUGAGCAGACAGAACCCCUUCCUGCGACCCUGGAGUCCCAAUCGUGCUGCCAUUUUCCUUCUGCCCAGGACUCUCCAGUCCUCAGUCACCUUGGACAAAGAAGUGUGGAUCCUCAGAUUCCAUCUUUUCCAACUCCAAGGUGCCAUGGCAGAGAAGGUGCUGGUAACAGGUGGGGCUGGCUACAUUGGCAGCCACACGGUGCUGGAGCUGCUGGAGGCUGGCUACUUGCCUGUGGUCAUCGAUAACUUCCAUAAUGCCUUCCGUGGUGAGCGGGGCAGUGGGGCUGGGGCUACUUGAGGGGAUGGCAGAAGCAAAACCCUGGGUUCCACCUCCACCACCGGGCGGGGAAUGUGUGUCUGGCUAGUCCCUGGGAACACAGCACCCCAUGUCGUGAUGAUGUGGCCUACAUGUACCCUACCAGGAGGGGGCUCCCUGCCUGAGAGCCUGCGGCGGGUCCAGGAGCUGACAGGCCGCUCUGUGGAGUUUGAGGAGAUGGACAUUUUGGACCAGGGAGCCCUACAGCGUCUCUUCAAAAAGGUGGGUGCAGGCUGGGCACGGUGGCUCACGCCUGUAAUUCCAGCACUUUGGAAGGCCGAGGUGAGGAGAUCACUUGAGCCCAGGUGUUCAAGACCAGCCUGCUCAACACAGUGAAACCCCAUCUCUACAGAAAAAUACAAAAAUUAGCUGGGCAUGGUAGCCCAUACCUGUGGUCCCAGCUACUCGGGAGGCUGGCAUGGGAGGAUGGCUUGAGCCUGGGAGGUGGAGGUUGCGGUGAGCUGAGAUGGCACCACUGUACUCCAGCCUGGACAACAGAGCGAGACUGUC
rnacentral:lncRNA from 10 species